rnacentral:rRNA from 1 species
CACUGCCGAGAAAAGCCUCUAGAUAGAAAAUAGGUGCCCGUACCGCAAACCGACACAGGUAGUCAAGAUGAGAAUUCUAAGGUGAGCGAGCGAACUCUCGUUAAGGAACUCGGCAAAAUGACCCCGUAACUUCGGGAGAAGGGGUGCUCUUUAGGGUUAACGCCCAGAAGAGCCGCAGUGAAUAGGCCCAAGCGACUGUUUAUCAAAAACACAGGUCUCUGCUAAACCGUAAGGUGAUGUAUAGGGGCUGACGCCUGCCCGGUGCUGGAAGGUUAAGAGGAGUGGUUAGCUUCUGCGAAGCUACGAAUCGAAGCCCCAGUAAACGGCGGCCGUAACUAUAACGGUCCUAAGGUAGCGAAAUUCCUUGUCGGGUAAGUUCCGACCCGCACGAAAGGCGUAACGAUUUGGGCACUGUCUCAACGAGAGACUCGGUGAAAUCAUAGUACCUGUGAAGAUGCAGGUUACCCGCGACAGGACGGAAAGACCCCGUGGAGCUUUACUGUAGCCUGAUAUUGAAAUUCGGCACAGCUUGUACAGGAUAGGUAGGAGCCUUUGAAACGUGAGCGCUAGCUUACGUGGAGGCGCUGGUGGGAUACUACCCUAGCUGUGUUGGCUUUCUAACCCGCACCACUUAUCGUGGUGGGAGACAGUGUCAGGCGGGCAGUUUGACUGGGGCGGUCGCCUCCUAAAAGGUAACGGAGGCGCUCAAAGGUUCCCUCAGAAUGGUUGGAAAUCAUUCAUAGAGUGUAAAGGCAUAAGGGAGCUUGACUGCGAGACCUACAAGUCGAGCAGGGUCGAAAGACGGACUUAGUGAUCCGGUGGUUCCGCAUGGAAGGGCCAUCGCUCAACGGAUAAAAGCUACCCCGGGGAUAACAGGCUUAUCUCCCCCAAGAGUUCACAUCGACGGGGAGGUUUGGCACCUCGAUGUCGGCUCAUCGCAUCCUGGGGCUGUAGUCGGUCCCAAGGGUUGGGCUGUUCGCCCAUUAAAGCGGUACGCGAGCUGGGUUCAGAACGUCGUGAGACAGUUCGGUCCCUAUCCGUCGUGGGCGUAGGAAAUUUGAGAGGAGCUGUCCUUAGUACGAGAGGACCGGGAUGGACAUACCUCUGGUGUACCAGUUGUCGUGCCAACGGCAUAGCUGGGUAGCUAUGUGUGGACGGGAUAAGUGCUGAAAGCAUCUAAGCAUGAAGCCCCCCUCAAGAUGAGAUUUCCCAACUUCGGUUAUAAGAUCCCUCAAAGAUGAUGAGGUUAAUAGGUUCGA